rnacentral:rRNA from 1 species
AUUGAACGCUGGCGGCAUGCCUUACACAUGCAAGUCGAACGGUAGAGGGGGCAACCUCUCGAGAGUGGCGAACGGGUGAGUAAAGCAUCGGAACGUGCCCAGUAGUGGGGGAUAGCCCGGCGAAAGCCGGAUUAAUACCGCAUGAGACCUACGGGUGAAAGGGGGGGAUCGCAAGACCUCUCGAUAUUGGAGCGGCCGAUGUCAGAUUAGGUAGGUGGUGGGGUAAAGGCCUACCAAGCCGUCGAUCUGUAGCUGGUCUGAGAGGACGACCAGCCACACUGGGACUGAGACACGGCCCAGACUCCUACGGGAGGCAGCAGUGGGGAAUUUUGGACAAUGGGCGAAAGCCUGAUCCAGCCAUGCCGCGUGCGGGAAGAAGGCCUUCGGGUUGUAAACCGCUUUUGUCAGGGAAGAAAUCCUUUGAGUUAAUACCUCGGGGGGAUGACGGUACCUGAAGAAUAAGCACCGGCUAACUACGUGCCAGCAGCCGCAGUAA